AUUCGAGAACCAUUUCUGGCCCCAAGCGAACCCUUGGCCUGGCUCAACUCUCAGCGGAAGACUUACUCAACAUAAGAUAAACUGGCCAAAAAGGAAAAGACCCCCGAUCGUCCUAACAAACUGAAAUAACUGAAUAUAAAUGAGGGAUCCUCCAAAAGAAAUGAGGCUCACCAAACAACUCUGGAACUCAACUUGAUCAACGAAGCGUUGGUUGAUGAUCCCGGAUACCUGUACCUGCAUCAUGAAAGAUGCAGGGCAAAUGGCGUCAGUACAUGAAAUGUACGAGCAUGCAAGGGGAAAUCUAAAACAUGACAUAAGCUUGAACAGGAACUGAAGAAACAACUUACCUCGUCCCAACUCAACUCAACCUAAGCUUAAUCUCAACUCAUUUCAAUAUAAAAGCAAUAACAAUAAUAAGAUAUAAAGAAAAGCUUUUAAAAUAGUAGAUAACAACUCAAUGUAUGUAUUAGAAAAUAAAAUAUAACUUAGUUUGUAUGUAAAAAUACUAAAUAAACUUUGUUUGGGAGAUUCUCUAACCGCACCAUCAUUAUGAGCUAAGUGAUGAUACAGCGUCUCGCCCAUGCUGCCAGAACUGUUUUAUACAUUGACGGGGUAUAGAACUUCUCAACUAAGUGGAUCCACUAAGCUAUGCUUAAAAAGCAAUAAGGAAUCAUCUAAAGAGUAUGACCCUUUCUACCCACGUUGGCUAUGUGGUUUAUGGGGAUUGUGAGUUGUUUGAACUAUCCCCCAUAUUAGUGCUCAAUACUACCCCCAAAAUAUAACUUAGCUCAUAUGUUUUUUUUUAAAAACAUUUCCUCAUCCUCAACUUUGAGAUUAUUACUCAAAAGAUUCCUUUGAAAAGAGAUAGUACUUAAAACUCCUCAUGAACUCCUUUGAAAAUUGGUGAUUCCUCUCAUCUUAAAUGUAAAAAUAUUUACCCUUGGGAAUACUUAAUUUCCAUGUAUCAUUUUGAUAAAAAUGAACUCAACUCUACUCAUCCUCAUACUCAAGUACUCAAGUCUUCAAACAAGUUUAAAAGAUUGUAAAAGACUUCUCAAAAAGACUCGAAAGAACUCUCAAGAAUUUACUCUUAGCUCUAUCUUGAAUUUAAAUUAUGGAUUCAAGGGUUAUGAUUCAUGUUAUGAAUAAUCUCUGGAUGUUUAGAUGUAGUUUAGAGUAGUUAGAAUCAAUAGGGAGUAAAGGUACCCUUUGAAAGAACUCAAACGGGCCAAACGAAGAAGAAAGGUGGGGGCAGGUGACCCUAGCGCACUAAGUGGCACAGGGCGCCAGCCCCUAAACUACAGAUCAUGUUUUCUAGCGCACAGGUGGGGAGGCGUGCCACCCUCUGCCCAGAAUUCCCCGAUGAAUUUUCUCUCUCAUUUUUUUACCCUAAUUCGCCUAGAAUCAAAUGUUCUCUUCCCAACUCACUUAAAUUCGAAUACCCAACUUAAGUACACAAUAAUUUACUCAAAACGGGCCUCAAAUCACUAACAUUCAUCUCAAGAGUUCAUGAAAACACAAACAAUCAAGAUUACGAAUGAAAUUGGAAGAAAACGCAUUUAGAACUCAAAUCCUUAAAACUCAAGAACGAAAUUGCAUUAAAAUAGCAUGAUUGGUGUGUGGGUGAACGAACCCAACACUAUGAGAACUCACAUACCUCUUAAGGAUCAAACCCUUUGUGAAACAAUCCUCGAUUCACAAGAAAACUUGAUGAACGCCUUGAACCUUCCCUAUUUUCUCUUUUUUUCUCUUCUUGAACGCUCUUCUAAAACCCUAAGCAUAAUUAGGAUUUGUCAAACUGACCCAAAUCAUAUUUGACCCCAAAAUAUUACUAAAAAUUGUUUUAAUCUGAUUGGGUAAGGAAAAGACAAAAAUACCCCUCACUAAUUCGGGUAACUUUCCUUAACUGGACAGACUAACUUCAAACAGGAAUAUCUCCCUCAUUCGAAACUCGAAAAUUAGCAAACUGAAAGUUAUGGUCGUUUGAAGUUGACCCAAAACUCACAACUUAAGCAUAACUUGUAAAAUUUCAUAUUUGGCUCUUUCCAAAUUAGUUCUUUCUAAAUUUAGCUCUUUCUAAGGCGGGAUGUUACAAUAUCUCCCCCUUGGGAGCAUUCGUCCUCGAAUGAGAUCACUCUAAGUAGAAUUAAGGGUGGAAGAAUCUAACACCCAACUCAAACAUGCAAAUUAACACAACAUUUCAAUUUAAAAAGUAUCAAGAAAAAAAUUAGUACCUUGAUUUGGAACUUCUCCAGACUCAAAGAGAUGGGGGUAUCUCUUCUUCAUAUCCUCCUCAUCCUCCCAAGUAGCUUCCUCAACAAAAUGAUUCCUCCAUAAGACUUUGACUGAUGCUACCUCCUUGGUUCGCAACUUGCGAACCUGACGAUCCAGAAUCUGAACGGGAAUCUCCUCAUAAGAUAGGCUAUCCUUAAUACAAAUAUCUUCACUAGGUAUGAUAAGUGAAAGAUCGCACAUACACUUCUUCAACAUAUAAAUGUGAAUGGACUUCUGCUAACUUUGACGGUAGCUCGAACUCGUAGGCUACAUUGCCAAUCCUCUUGGAUAUCCUAUAAGGACCAAUAUACCGAGGACUAAGCUUCCCCUUCUUGCCAAACCUCAUAACACCCUUCACGGGUGAAAACUUCAAAUACACCCAAUCAUCCACCUCGAACUCCAAGUCUCUUCUCUAACAUCAGUUUAGGAUUUCUGACAACUCUGCGCUGUUUUCAACCUUUCUUGAAUAGUCUUCACCUUCUCCGUAGCUUGAUGAACCAAGUGUGUUCCUAUCAACCCAGCUUCACCAACCUCAAACCAUCCAAUAGGAUAUCUACAUCUUCUCUGAUAAAGAGCCUCAUAGGGAGCCAUUUGGAUGCUAGAGUGGUAACUAUUGUUGUAAGCAAACUCAAAGAGAGGUAAGUGAUCAUCCCAACUACCCUUGAAAUUGAUCACGCACGCCCUCAACAUAUCCUCUAAAGUUUGAAUUGUAUGCUCUACUUGACCAUGAUUCUGAGGAUGGAAAGCAGUACUAAGGUUCACCUUUGAACUCAAGCCCUUCAGGAAAGACUUCCAAAAUUAUACGGUGAAUUGUGCACCUCUAUCUGAAAUAAUGGACAUCGGAACUCCAUGAAGUAUGACUAUCUCUUGAAUAUAUAACUUGGCAUAAUCCUCUGUUGUAAAAGUAGUCUUUACCGGUAAGAAAUGGGUUGAUUUAGUCAUUCGAUCUACAAUCACCCAAAUCAAACCAUGCUGCCUGCGAGACCGCGGUAAACCAGUAAUAAAAUCCAUAUUGAUCAUUUCCCACUUUCAUUCUGGAAGAUCUAUGUUCUAAGCCAUAUCAUCGGGCCUCUGGUGCUCUACCUUGACUUGUUGACAAUUCAGGCACUUAGCAACGAACUCUGCAAUACACAUCUUCAUACUUCUCUCAAAUCACGAUACAUCUUUAUGGAACCAGGAUGAAUAUAAUAUAUGGAACUAUGAGCUUCCUUCAUGAUCCUCUCUUGGAGUUCAUCCACCUUGGGUACACACAAUCUACCUUGAUACCUCAAUACACCAUCUCCCUAUUGUUCAAAAGUCACUACUUUAUGCUUAUAAACAUUUUCCUUUAAUUCAAGCAAAAUAGGAUCUUGGUCUUGUUUCUCUUUCACUUCAGACACUAAUGAUGAUUCAACCCCAUUCAUCACCACUACUACUACUUCGUUGGAAUCCAUUAUCAAGACUCUCAAUCGUGCAAGUCUAUGCACAUCUUUUUCUAAUUCUUUCUUUCCUUCCUCAACAUGGGUGGUACUACCCAUAGACAAUCUUCUCAAAGCAUCAACAACAACAUUAGCCUUACAUGAGUGAUAGAGAAUACUCAUAUCACAAUCCUUGAGUAACUCCAACCACCUCCUUUAUCUAAGAUUAAGCUCUUUCUGAUUGAAUACAUAUUGAAGACUCUUGUGAUUGGUGAACACAUCUACAUGAACACCAUAGAGAUAAUGACGUUAUAUUUUCAAAGCAAACACUACGGCAGCCAACUCUAGAUCAUGGGUUGGGUAAUUCCUCUUGUGAAUCUUUAGAUGUCUGGAGGCAUAAGCUAUAACUUUGCCAUUCUGCAUCAAUACACAACCCAGUCCAACUCUGGACACAUCACAAUACACAACAAAACCUUGCAUACCUUCUGGUAAGGUCAACAUUGGGCAGUAGUCAACCUAGUUUUCAAUUCCUGAAAGCUCUUCUCACAAGCUUCAGACCAUUAAAACUUAACUAUUUUCUGAGUGAACUUGGUUAACGGGGAUGAAAUAGAUGACAACCCCUCGAUAAACGUUUUAUAAUAACCAGUCAAUCCCAAGAAAUUCCUAACAUCAGUUGGAGAUGUGGGUCUAGGCCAGUUCUACAUUGCCUAUAUCUUUUGAGUGUCAACUCGAAUCCCAUCACCAAAAAUAAAGUGGCAUAAGAAUGCCAUAGAAUCAAGCAAAAAUUCACACUUGGAAAAUUUAGUAUACAACUCUCUAUCCUUGAGAGUUUGAAGAACUACUCUGAGAUGACUAGCAUGAUAUUCCUCAUUCCUCGAAUAAAUCAGAAUGUCAUCAAUGAAUACGAUAACAAACAUAUCAAGAUAGGGCUUGAACACUUUGUUCAUAAGGUUCAUGAACGUUGUUGGAGCAUUAGUCAAACCAAAAGACAUGACUAGAAACUCACAAUGACCAUAGCGGGUCCUGAAAGUUGUCUUAGGAAUGUUACUUUCUCUUACUCUCAACUGAUGAUAGACAGAUCUGAGGUCUAUCUUAGAAAAACUAGUGGCACCCUGAAGUUGAUCGAAAAGAUCAUCAAUUCUCGAAAGAGGAUACUUAUUCUUGAUGUAACCUUGUUCAAUUGGCGGUAAUAUAUACACAUCCUAAGUGGACCAGCUUUCUUCCGCACAAAUAAGACUGGAGCGACCCAAGGUGAGACACUUGGUCAAAUGAAACCUUUCUCAAGAAGGUCUUUCAACUACUCUUUAACUCUUUCAACUCAAGUGGAGUCAUUAUAUAUGGCGGAAUAGAGAUAGGAUGAGUAUCAGAAAGAAUAUCUAUAUCGAAGUCUAUUUCUCUCUCAGGAGGGACUCAGGGAAGAUUAUCUGGAAAGACCUCUGGAAACUCACUCACAACUGGAACUGACUGAAUAGGUGAUGUAUCAACAAUAGAGUCACAAACUCGGACUAAGUUAUAGAUGCAACCCUUGGAAAAUAACUUUCUCGCCUUAAGGUAUGAAAUAAAAUGACCCUUAGGCACUUCUGAACUACUCCUCCACUUUAUAACUGGCUCAUUAGGAAACUAGAACUUAACUACUCCAGUUCUACAAUCAACUAAGGCAUAACAGGCAUGAAGCCAGUCCAUACCUAGAAUAACAUCAAAAUCUACUAUGUCUAACUCGACUAAGUCAACCAUGGUGUCCUUGUGAUUGACAGAAAUGACACAAUCACGAUAAACUCUCUCAGCUAUAAUAGACUCACCAACAGGUGUGGAAACACUCAAGGGCCCAAGAAUUUGUUCGGAAUAAUAUUGCUACCUCAUAGCUAUAUAUAGAGUAACAAAAGAUAUACUCGCACUUGGAUCUACCAAAGCAUAUACAUCAAAAGAAAAGACUUUGAUCAUACCAGUGACAACAUCUGGCAAAUUUUCUUGCUCUUGGCGACUAGUGAUAGCAUACAAGCGGU
rnacentral:lncRNA from 1 species